rnacentral:rRNA from 1 species
GACAGAGGGUGCAAACGUUGUUCGGAAUUACUGGGCGUAAAGCGCGUGUAGGCUGCUCGGAAAGUCGGAUGUGAAAGCCCUGGGCUCAACCUAGGAAGUGCAUUCGAAACUACCGAGCUGGAGUUCUGGAGAGGAAGGCGGAAUUCUCGGUGUAGAGGUGAAAUUCGUAGAUAUCGAGAGGAACACCGGUGGCGAAGGCGGCCUUCUGGACAGUGACGUGACGCUGAGACGCGAAAGCGUGGGGAGCAAACAGGG